rnacentral:rRNA from 1 species
UACGGGGGGGCAAGCGUUGUUCGGAAUUACUGGGCGUAAAGGGCUUGUAGGUGGCCAACUAAGUCAAACGUGAAAUCCCUCAGCUUAACUGGGGAACUGCGCUUGAUACUGGAUGGCUUGAGUUUGGGAGAGGGAUGCGGAAUUCCAGGUGUAGCGGUGAAAUGCGUAGAUAUCUGGAGGAACACCGGUGGCGAAGGCGGCAUCCUGGACCAAUACUGACACUGAAAAGCGAAAGCCAGGGGAGCAAACGGG